GCCUACGGGGGGCAGCAGUGGGGAAUAUUGCACAAUGGGGGAAACCCUGAUGCAGCGACGCCGCGUGAGUGAAGAAGUAUUUCGGUAUGUAAAGCUCUAUCAGCAGGGAAGAUAAUGACGGUACCUGACUAAGAAGCCCCGGCUAACUACGUGCCAGCAGCCGCGGUAAUACGUAGGGGGCAAGCGUUAUCCGGAUUUACUGGGUGUAAAGGGUGCGUAGGUGGCAGGGCAAGUCAGAUGUGAAAGCCCGGGGCUCAACCCCGGUACUGCAUUUGAAACUGACCAGCUGGAGUGCAGGAGAGGUA
rnacentral:rRNA from 1 species